rnacentral:rRNA from 1 species
UCUUUGAACGCAAGUUGCGCCCGAGGCUUGUCCCGAGGGCAUGCCUGCCUGAGCGUC